CCAGCUAACUGUCAGCCGUUACAGCUACAUACAUACAUAUGUACAUCGAGGCUGCUAUUUAGUUUUCCUCGUAUUUCGUGCAACGAGCUGCUAGCCAGUUCACUUUUGUUGGUGGGCUCGAUUGCAACGCGAAACGUGCUGAGUUGUUCAAAACAAUUUGUGGGGCAGGCAGAGACAGCAGACGCGUUCCAGGCCUUGUCAUUUCUGUUGUGCAGAGUGCUAUUAUUUUACAAAUAGCCAGCCAGUGGGGGCUGGGCUCCAUCACUACUGCAGAGGCCUAGGCAAUCUCAGAUUGGAAGCAAACCAAAAGCAAUUACGUGCUAUUAACAGCAGUCGGGAGGUAAUUGCGCCUCAAAGUGCGUACUGGCUGCGGGGAAGACUUCUUUUUCCCUCAACUAAAACAAACUAAAACGCGUUUCGUUAACCGCCGUCCGCUUAAACAAUACAAUACAAAUCUACACACAGGCGCAUACAUAAGCAGCAAAGCAGUAAAGUAAUAAAGCAGCUAUAGCUAUAGCUUUUCCAGCCCAGUCCAGUAAUUAGUGCAGCUAUCAAAUCAACAAAGAAACUCCGAAU